UGGGUGAAAGGUUGGUGAUUAGCUUAAGC
rnacentral:piRNA from 1 species